CGAAAGCCGAAAGCAGAGAGAGAGAGAGAGAGAGACCUAAAGUGCCCAAAGAAAUGGAAGAAUCCUCUUGUAGUGAGGUACCCUUUGGCUUUGGUCAUCCCUGCUCUUUGCUGCUCUACAUCGUAAGUGCCUGUGCUCGUUGCUUGGGCUGCUCCGUUUCUUCCGAUGAACCUCAGGAUCCUUCUACAGAAGAAGAGAAUGGCGAUGACUCCAUUGAAGAAGGAGCCGAUGUAAAGACCGGUAUGGCUUCAAGAAGGCCAAGAAGGCCACGCCCAAGUGAAGGUCGAGGAGGCCAGAUUAACUGAGAGUAGCUUUGCUUCUAGCCCCUCAAGUUUCAGGCUUCAUUUUGGACUCCAUCUACACUUUUGUUAACCCUCACCAAGAUCGUCUUGUAUGUCUCCAGUGUGUACAUUUAGCUGGAAAUUGAUCUUGUAUGAUUUAAAUGCUUGUCCUUUAUUCUA